CCAACUUGCAAUCAAAAUUCAACACUUCAAAAACAGAGCAAAUAAUUCCUAAAAUUUCUAGCACAAGCAAUGGUUGCCAAACAAUGACAACCCCCAAUCCUAACGAUCACCCCACACGAUGAUCUGCUAAUGCUGAAAUUUAAACUAAGUUAAGUCAAUAUAUCAGAGCGGACCUAUCUGAGUCCCUAAAUUAUGAGAGUUGCGAAUUUAUCACUUUAGGACCACCACUAUUCGUCCUAAAGUCUCUGGAAACUGCAGCAACCAAAAAAUCACGAUCGAGUCCCGAACGCUCGAAGAAUAACGCUGUCCAGAUUCUUCUGCGUAUCCUGAAAUAGAAAACUUUCAACACAAAAAAAUGUUAGAAAUAAUAUAUGGAACAAACUGCCUGAAGAGACCGUUGCCAAAAAAUGCUCCACGCGCCCUCACGUGCGGCUCCUUCCCUCGACGUGUGGGCCUCACCCGCCACCACACACGCCGCCGUAGACUGACACGUACCGGCCUGCAAUGUUCGCCUCUUCCUGUACGUCACGCCAGUGGUCUCCGUUUCCCCAAACUCCUUCUGGAUUGAUCAGAAAAUGUGAAAUACGAAGACUGAUUUUGACAGUUUUUGGACAGCUUCUUUGAUCUGAUUUCUGCUGCGUUUCUGCCGAUUUUCUGGACGAUUUUUGGUAGAUUUCACGAGCCAAAACCUUCACCUUGAAGCUCUAAUACCAAUUGUUGCGAAAGCUCUAUAAAAGGAUCUUCAAACGGUGGUUUUCCAGACUUAGUCCAACGUACCUUUUUUAACCAAUAACCAGUCCAAUCGGCUCCAAACCACAAUCAAUUGAUUCACGUUGGUUGCUAUGCAAUCUUACCCAUAUAAGAUAAGAAAUGAUGAUGAUUUAUGGCCACAAAGGCUAGAAGAAGAUACCACAAAGGUAUACUUUGAAAGAACAACUAAUUGCACACGUUAUACAAACGUUCUGGAUACUUCUGGACACCCUUUUCUCACACAAAAGGAGGGCAGCUGGGAUUCACUAUUUCUUCUCUCAAAAUCACACAAAACAUCAUAUGAAAGUGGUUAGGAUUAUAGCCAAAUACAUACUCUAGGGUUAGACUUUAAGUUGGGCCAUUAAAGGGGUAAACGGGUCAAGAUUCAAGCCAGCCUAUGCCUAUGAAAUAAUAUUAACCCGCGUUGACAUCAUAGCCUGUGAUUUAUUGGGUAUCAAAAACCCAACAGAAUUUAAUCUGAACAUGAACAUUGAAUUUUUAUAAUUUCCUCCUUCCAUCACUCUAUAUCUAAUUAGCUUCAAAAUACAAUGGAAU
rnacentral:lncRNA from 1 species